GGGCCCGCACAAGCGGUGGAGCAUGUGGUUUAAUUCGAUGAUACGCGAGGAACCUUACCAGGGCUUAAAUGUAGGUUGCAUGAUCUAGAGAUAGAUCUUUCUUCGGACUACCUACAAGGUGCUGCAUGGUUGUCGUCAGCUCGUGCCGUGAGGUGUCAGGUUAAGUCCUAUAACGAGCGCAACCCCUGUCGUUAGUUACCAGCAAUUAAAGUUGGGUACUCUAGCGAGACUGCCGGUGCAAACCGUGAGGAAGGUGGGGAUGACGUCAAAUCAUCACGGCCCUUACGUCCUGGCUACACACGUGCUACAAUGGCCGGUACAGAGAGCAGCCACUACGCGAGUAGGAG
rnacentral:rRNA from 1 species